AUACGGAGGGGGUUAGCGUUGUUCGGAAUUACUGAGCGUAAAGCGCACGUAGGCGGAUUGGAAAGUUGGGGGUGAAAUCCCAGGGCUCAACCCUGGAACUGCCUCCAAAACUAACAGUCUAGAGUUCGAGAGAGGUGAGUGGAAUUCCAAGUGUAGAGGUGAAAUUCGUAGAUAUUUGGAGGAACACCAGUGGCGAAGGCGGCUCACUGGCUCGAUACUGACGCUGAGGUGCGAAAGCGUGGGGAGCAAACAGGAUUAGAAACCCUAGUAGUCC
rnacentral:rRNA from 1 species